rnacentral:rRNA from 1 species
UACGUAGGGUGCGAGCGUUGUCCGGAAUUAUUGGGCGUAAAGAGCUCGUAGGCGGUCUGUCGCGUCGGUCGUGAAAACUUGGGGCUUAACCCUGAGCUUGCGGUCGAUACGGGCAUGACUGGAGUUCGGCAGGGGAGACUGGAAUUCCUGGUGUAGCGGUGAAAUGCGCAGAUAUCAGGAGGAACACCGGUGGCGAAGGCGGGUCUCUGG